CCUACGGGGGCUGCAGUGGGGAAUAUUGGACAAUGGGCGAAAGCCUGAUCCAGCCAUGCCGCGUGUGUGAAGAAGGCCUUCGGGUUGUAAAGCACUUUCAGUGGGGAAGAAAGCCUUGGGGCUAAUACCCUCGAGGAAGGACAUCACCCACAGAAGAAGCACCGGCUAACUCCGUGCCAGCAGCCGCGGUAAUACGGAGGGUGCGAGCGUUAAUCGGAAUUACUGGGCGUAAAGCGCGCGUAGGCGGUCUGAUAAGCCGGUUGUGAAAGCCCCGGGCUCAACCUGGGAACGGCAUCCGGAACUGUCAGGCUAGAGUGCAGGAGAGGAAGGUAGAAUUCCCGGUGUAGCGGUGAAAUGCGUAGAGAUCGGGAGGAAUACCAGUGGCGAAGGCGGCCUUCUGGACUGACACUGACGCUGAGGUGCGAAAGCAUGGGUAGCAAACAGGAUUAGAUACCCUUGUAGUC
rnacentral:rRNA from 1 species